AUUGAACGCUGGCGGCAGGCCUAACACAUGCAAGUCGAACGAGUGGCGGACGGGUGAGUAAUGACUCGGCAACUGCCUGAUGGAGGGGGAUAACUACUGGAAACGGUAGCUAAUACCGCCUACCAUCGGAUGUGCCCAGAUGGGAUUAGCUAGUAGGGGGGGGAAAGGCUCACCUAGGCGACGAUCCCUAGCUGGUCUGAGAGGAUGACCAGUCACACUGGAACUGAGACACGGUCCAGACUCCUACGGGAGGCAGCAGGGGGGUAUAUUGCACAAUGGGCGCAAGCCUGAUGCAGCCAUGCCGCGUGUAUGAAGAAGGCCUUAGGGUUGUAAAGCACUUUCAGCUGGGAGGCGUUACCCGCAGAAGAAGCACCGGCUAACUUCGGGCCAGCAGCCGCGGUAAUAC
rnacentral:rRNA from 1 species